ACACUUUGCGUUUGCAAUUAUUAAAAAAUGAAAUAAUUGGGCUUUUGGUUUGGUCUAAUUGGAAAUGUGACAAUGAAUCAGCUUGCAGGCAGAAAACGCAUCGCGUUAAUUGCAGAUUUUGGCUCCGGGAAAGGAAAAUAACAACAUGGGAACCCCAAAAAACUCAAAAGUGUAGAAAUGUUUUAAGAAGGCAAAGGAUGGCAAGACACAAACCAAUUGGAAAAGAAUAAGCUCUCUUCCAUUGCAUUCUGCCUUUUAUAAGCAAAACAGAUGAGGAAGCGUCCUACAAACAACAAUGGAUGAUGCACUAGCUGGAUUUGUGGCCACAAGCAUGCAAGCUUUUUUUUUAAUCUUGAGAAGAGCUUCAUCCGCAGUACGGAUUGCCGUACUACAUGGAAACAUGCCCAAAUGGGGAUAAGAUAAGUAGAUACAUACAUAUGUGUCUAACAAUAGGAAGACAGCCUUGCUUUGAAAGCUUAAAUCCAUUGACAAUUUGGCCAUCAACACCGAUUUAUAGACCACUUUGGAAAACAAUUAAUGCAGACUAUUUAAAAACUGUUUUGUUCUUGAAAUCAUCUGCGAAUUCUAUAUGCUUUAAACGGAGAAAGUUCUACAAAAGUAGCGACAGUAUUGCGGGAAAAUAAGCAGAGAUCUUCCCGAACCAGCCAUUGUUUAAACGGAAAAAAUGAAACAUCUAUCAAAAAACUCAAACCAAUAAUAAACCUUUGGAAUAAUAACAAUCGGAUUCUUGAUUAAAAUUAAGACCCUUUAAUAUAUUGAAAGAAUUCCAACAACUACGUGUCAUUUCAAACGCUGGCAAAGAAGUCCACAGAAAGCUGGACCGAUUGUUCAUUCGAAUUCUUCACCCAAAGGGUUUUGCUAGAGUUAUUUGUUCUAAUCGUUCAAGGACCUCAAUCAAUAUGCCAUUAACACAAUUGUUUUAUUUAUGUAUUUUACUUUAAGCCACCAACUAACUACUUGGCAAAUAAUGGUUGCCCCUAUUUGUUUGAAUAUGAUAUUGUUUAAAUAUAUUAAAUAAUUAUAAACAACUAAACUAACUUUGCGACUGACAGGUUUUUCAAUUUAAGAAGACUAAUUUAAGCUAAUCUUUGCGAAAAUUUGAAAUAUUAAUUUUUGAGGUUUAAAUUUGUACUUAAUUAUUGUACUUAAAUUAAGAAUUUGUCAAUAAGAAUGUAAUGGCUUACACUAUGAGCGAAAAAUGACUGAAUUAGAUAUUAGUAAAGUUAAGGGUUAUGACAAUUUUUAAUUCAAUUGUUGGUCAAUCUGCCUAUUUUUCUUAGACUAUACUUUGACCCAUUUCUAAUCGAUUUCUAAAUUUAGUAUACAUAUUAAAAAAAUGAUAUCAAACACUUAAGAAUAUCGAAGUUAAUGGACAAGGAAAACUCAAUUUAGAUGCAAGUCAUUAAUGUGAAGUUCAUUAAUAAUCAGAAUAAAGAGCAAAAACAAAAACUAA